GAACGCAUAUUGCGCUCUCUGGUAUUCCGGAGAGCAUGCUUGUUUGAGUAUCAGUAAACACCUCAACUCCCCUUUCUUUUUUUGAAAUGGGAGCUGGACUUGAGUGAUCCCAACGCUUUUCUCACCGAAAAGUGGCGGGGUACUUGAAAUGCAGGGGCAGCUGGACUUUUCUCUUAGCUAAAAGCAUAUCUAUUUAGUCUGCCUAAAAAACAGAUUAUUACCUUUGCUGCAGCUAACAUAAAGGAGAUUAGUUCUUGUGCUGACUGAUGCAGGAUUCACAGAGACAGCUUCGGCUGGCCUUUGUAAACUCGAUCUCAAAUCAAGUAAGACUACCCGCUGAACUUA
rnacentral:misc_RNA from 1 species